rnacentral:rRNA from 1 species
UACAGAGGGGGCAAGCGUUGUUCGGAAUUACUGGGCGUAAAGGGCGCGUAGGCGGCCCUCUAAGUCAGACGUGAAAUCCCUCGGCUCAACCGGGGAACUGCGUCUGAGACUGGAAGGCUUGAAUUCGGGAGAGGGAUGUGGAAUUCCAGGUGUAGCGGUGAAAUGCGUAGAUAUCUGGAGGAACACCGGUGGCGAAGGCGGCAUCCUGGACCGACAUUGACGCUGAGGCGCGAAAGCCAGGGGAGCAAACGGG